AACGCACCUUGCGCCCCUUGGCUAUUCCGAUGGGCAUGCCUGUUUGAGUAUCAUGAACACCUCAACUCUCAUGGUUUGCCGUGAUGAGCUUGGACUUUGGGGGGUUUUGCUGGCCUUUGCUCAGCUCCCCUGAAACAGAUCAGCUUGCCAGUGUUUGGUGGCAUCACGGGUGUGAUAACUAUCUACGCUUGUGAUUGUUUGCCAAGUAACCUUUGGUAACGGAGGUUUGCUGGUGCUUAUAAAUGUCUCUCCUCAGCGAAGACAGCUUUUGACCGUUCGAUCUCAAAUCAGGUAGGACUACCCGCUGAACUUAA
rnacentral:misc_RNA from 1 species